rnacentral:snRNA from 1 species
AUCGCUUCCCGGCCUUUUGGCUAAGAUCAAGUGUAGUAAUACAUCAGAAAAUAUACAUAUUUGUAGAUGUUAUAAAAAUGCUUAAAGCAAAACAAUUUUUGAAGAAGAAAGUAGUUAAGUUUC